AUUACUACUAAUAAUGAAUAAUUAGGCCUUUUGGUAUCUGUUCUUAUCAGCUUAAUAUCUGAUCCGUCAUCUAUAAGAGGACCUCAUAUUAAACUGAUUUUCAGGACAGGGAGACGGAAGAGGGGCUUGCUCCGUCCACUCCAUCCAUCGACCUGGUAUUGAAGUACCUCCGGGAACGGUGCACCUUCU
ensembl:snRNA U2 U2 spliceosomal RNA